UUGAGAUACACCAAGUGAGAAGACUGGUCUUUGACAAUUACCAAUAGUGUCCAGUAUCUUUAUAAGUAACAGUUGCAUUGUGUUGGGAAUUGAAUUGAUGGAUUCCCAUAUUAUGAAGAUUCAGUUUUAUUAUUCAAAGUAACAGCAGAAGUUUGUGUGUGUUUAUUUUCCAGACAGGCAGGGCAUGUAGUUUGACACUGACAUUUCAUACAGUUACUUAUUUUCCAGUACUCGCUAAUCCUCCAAUCAGAUGCUCGAGUGUGAUAUCAGACGAUAACCUACUCCAAGUUCUUAUAGUCACGCUCUGCAUACGAUUAUCUAAUCAUUGGAAUAAUCUCGCCCCAGCCCAGCCUGGAAGAGACCAAGUGGCCGACCUCUUAACACCUGGAUGUGUCAGCUGGAAGCAGACAUUGAGUCUCAGGCACGGCCGCUGUGGCAAUCUGCAUCAACCUGCAUAGGUUGGGCGGCUCUACAUCCCCCCAUGACGGAUUAGAGUAAGAUGAUGAUGAUGACGACUGAUUGAUGGGCAGUACCUAUCAUGGACAACUGGAUAGUAGUAUGUGGGAUUGCUUGUCUGAGAUAUGACAACUUUCAAUAGUUUUAGCCAUCAAGCUGUAACUGCUCGAUGAAUGAGUGGACUCUGCAAGCAUAUACUUAAACAGACAUUGAUUGCACCUCCUGAUCAAUACAAGCAACUU